rnacentral:lncRNA from 1 species
GGGCCCUAAGGGUGUUUUUUCCUCAGCCAGUGGAUGAGGUUUUAGCGCUACAGGAAAGGAUCAUGCAUUGGGUUAGGUAACCCUACCUGCCCAUAGACGAUAAACGACAGUUGAAGCGCAUGCUUGCUGCUGCGAUAAUAAAAUACUUUGACAACAGGGUUCACAAGGUCAGGCGAUGGUUGCCUUACUUGCUAAUAUUGAUUAAUAACUCUUUGAUUGUGUCGAUCUCUGUUCCGAACUUGUUCAUUGGUGUUGUCCAUCUUGAUCUUGAUCAUCGAACUCAUGGCUCACAUCGACUCUAGAUCCUACCUGGAGGAACCAAAAACACCAAAACCAAGGAAAACGACAAUCAACCAUGGCAUCGAUGCAAUGCACGAACAAUACGAUGACAUGAAUUAACCCUACGACAUGCCAAUCAUAUUAAUUAGGAUUGGAAUUCUUAAUUAUAGCAUUUCCAUAAAACCAUAAACAAUAACAAAAAUUGAUUUAAUUAAUUGAAUUCCUAAAUACGCUCAAAAUUCAAGUUAUUCAAAUGUGCAUGAAAAUGAUACUGAAAUAUAGAGCUUAAACGACAUAACAUUGUGAUAUAUAAAACACAUUUUUUUUGAAUUACAGAAUAAAAGUUAUGGAAUUUACAAGACUGAAACAAAAUCUAGAAUUUCUGGAAAUUAACAGAACGGGGUCAAUCGUUGUGGUACAUAGCAGUGGUGCCCAGGGUCACUGACCCCUGGGUCAGCGUGCCACGCAAGCAGACCACGGGCCCGGGUCAACGGUCAGGCGGAGGACCCGCCAGGCCAGGUCAUCCCCGGCGACCGGCCGGUGACGGACGCCAGCGACGGCGGAGCAGACCACCGGGGAACGCGCGAAGUGGCGUGGUCGAAGCACGGGCUCGUGCCGAACCUAGCUAGGGCGGCGCUGCUACUUCUGAGUCGCCGGAACGACGCCGGCGACAAGCAUCUGAGGCGGCGCACGGCGCGGUGAUGUUCCAGGACGCGGUUGAGAGAGAGGAAGGGCUGGGGAGGUUUGCCUGCUCACCAGGAGUGCGACGGAAGGAUCGGGGAGGCCGGAGGAGCAGCGGCGGCAGCGCCAUGGUCGACGGCACGGCGGCCAGAGCUCGGGAAGACGGCGUCGCGGUCAUCGACGGCAGCCGUGGCCCGUGGCAGACGGCGGAGAAGGAGGGUUCGCGGUGCUCGACUCUGGCCGCGCCUCCUCGAUUCCUUCGCUGGGGUGAGAGAGUUGACUACGGCN